GCCCGGCAGCGGCUCCUAAAUAAUAAUCAUAAUUAAAAAAACGGACCCUCCAAAUCCAAAUCUCUUCCGAUGCUGGAAAAGACGCGCUGAAAUUGCUUUCUAAUUACAUAACAUCAGACGUGAAGUCCCACUAAACAGUUUACUAAAUCUGACGAUAGAAAGCCACCGGCGGAGAACCUUGCACGCUGUAGAGCUGGGUGCGGCACCGCACACAUCUUGGCACAAUGCGCAGGCUCUAUGCUCUGUAAAUGUGGGUGACAAAGGGCCAUGUAUGGACCUUACGGACGCGUGGUUUUAUAUACGUGUUAUUAUCUGGGCCAUUGCGUCGCCUCUCUGCGUUUUGUACCAGACGCGGCCAGGAAAUGAUGUAAUUGCCAAAUGAGUCAAGAAAUCUUACAGCCCACCCUGGAUUCAGAAACGCUCCUGAAAUACGAGUAGAAGGCAAUAGGAUGUAACUCGGCUUUGAAAGUGCCAACCGUUACAGUCAAAUGUAGCCCAAGAGACCCUGCUGCUCUGCAAGAUGCAAGGAGGCUUAAGUAAAACAGAUAUAAAUUUGUAAUGAACUUGCUCACAACAUCCGGCGCCACUGUAAAUUGCUGUCAUCCAUCACCAUAGAAGUUAGGUGAGCCUAUGCUUGCAUAUUGUUUCCUGUUUUCAGCAACUCAGAGAUUCUUGAAAAAGAUUAUUCAAUAGCAUGGAAACAGGAAGAUUAAUAGGACUUAUUAGUGCUAAUAAAUAAAGAUGGUAA